CAUAGGGAAAAUAAGGCAUCACUUGUUGUCCUACCUGAUUUGUUGAUGGAGCUUGAUAGUAUGGAUGAGGAAACAACACUACUUACUCUCAUUGAAGGUGUUCUUGCUGCAAACAUUUUUGAUUGGGGAUCUCGUGCAUGUGUGGAUCUCUAUCAUAAAGGAACUAUUAUUGAAAUUUACAGAAUGAGUC